rnacentral:rRNA from 1 species
GAACGCUGGCGGCGUGCUUAACCACAUGCAAGUCGAACGGUGAACACGGAGCUUGCUCUGUGGGAUCAGUGGCGAACGGGUGAGUAACACGUGAGCAACCUGCCCCUGACUCUGGGAUAAGCGCUGGAAACGGCGUCUAAUACUGGAUAUGUGACGUGACCGCAUGGUCUGCGUCUGGAAAGAAUUUCGGUUGGGGAUGGGCUCGCGGCCUAUCAGCUUGUUGGUGAGGUAAUGGCUCACCAAGGCGUCGACGGGUAGCCGGCCUGAGAGGGUGACCGGCCACACUGGGACUGAGACACGGCCCAGACUCCUACGGGAGGCAGCAGUGGGGAAUAUUGCACAAUGGGCGCAAGCCUGAUGCAGCAACGCCGCGUGAGGGACGACGGCCUUCGGGUUGUAAACCUCUUUUAGCAGGGAAGAAGCGAAAGUGACGGUACCUGCAGAAAAAGCGCCGGCUAACUACGUGCCAGCAGCCGCGGUAAUACGUAGGGCGCAAGCGUUAUCCGGAAUUAUUGGGCGUAAAGAGCUCGUAGGCGGUUUGUCGCGUCUGCUGUGAAAUCCGGAGGCUCAACCUCCGGCCUGCAGUGGGUACGGGCAGACUAGAGUGCGGUAGGGGAGAUUGGAAUUCCUGGUGUAGCGGUGGAAUGCGCAGAUAUCAGGAGGAACACCGAUGGCGAAGGCAGAUCUCUGGGCCGUAACUGACGCUGAGGAGCGAAAGGGUGGGGAGCAAACAGGCUUAGAUACCCUGGUAGUCCACCCCGUAAACGUUGGGAACUAGUUGUGGGGUCCAUUCCACGGAUUCCGUGACGCAGCUAACGCAUUAAGUUCCCCGCCUGGGGAGUACGGCCGCAAGGCUA